GCUACUUCAAACCAUCGCGAACUCGUCCAAGUUGCUUCGGCGGCGCGGCACCCCUUAACGGGGGCGCCGCAGCCCCGCCUCUCCGGAGGUUCGGGGCGCCCGCCGGAGGUACGAAACUCUGUAUUAUAGUGGCAUCUCUGAGUAUAAAACAAAUAAGUUAAAACUUUCAACAACGGAUCUCUUGGUUCUGGCAUCGAUGAAGAACGCAGCGAAAUGCGAUAAGUAAUGUGAAUUGCAGAAUUCAGUGAAUCAUCGAAUCUUUGAACGCACAUUGCGCCCGGUAGUACUCUACCGGGCAUGCCUGUUCGAGCGUCAUUUCAACCCUCAAGCCCUGCUUGGUGUUGGGGCCCUACGGCUGCCGUAGGCCCUGAAAGGAAGUGGCGGGCUCGCUACAACUCCGAGCGUAGUAAUUCAUUAUCUCGCUAGGGAGGUUGCGGCGUGCUCCUGCCGUUAAAGACCCAUCUUUAACCAAGGUUGACCUCGGAUCAGGUAGGAAUACCCGCUGAACUUAAGCAUAUCAAUAAGCGGAGGAAAAGAAACCAACAGGGAUUGCCCUAGUAACGGCGAGUGAAGCGGCAACAGCUCAAAUUUGAAAUCUGGCUUCGGCCCGAGUUGUAAUUUGUAGAGGAUGCUUUUGGUGAGGUGCCUUCUGAGUUCCCUGGAACGGGACGCCAGAGAGGGUGAGAGCCCCGUAUAGUCGGCCACCGAUCCUUUGUAAAGCUCCUUCGACGAGUCGAGUAGUUUGGGAAUGCUGCUCAAAAUGGGAGGUAUAUCUCUUCUAAAGCUAAAUAUAGGCCAGAGACCGAUAGCGCACAAGUAGAGUGAUCGAAAGAUGAAAAGCACUUUGAAAAGAGGGUUAAAUAGCACGUGAAAUUGUUGAAAGGGAAGCGCUUGUGACCAGACUUGUGCCGGGCUGAUCAUCCAGUGUUCUCACUGGUGCACUCGACCCGGCUCAGGCCAGCGUCGGUUUUCGUGGGGGGAUAAAAGCUUCGGGAACGUGGCACCUUCGGGUGUGUUAUAGCCCGUUGC
rnacentral:rRNA from 1 species